GAUGAACGCUGGCGGCGUGCUUAAUACAUGCAAGUCGAGCGAACGGACGAGAAGCUUGCUUCUCUGAUGUUAGCGGCGGACGGGUGAGUAACACGUGGAUAACCUACCUAUAAGACUGGGAUAACUUCGGGAAACCGGAGAUAAUACCGGAUAAUAUUUUGCACCGCAUGGUUCAAAAGUGAAAGACGGUCUUGCUGUCACUUAUAGAUGGAUCCGCGCUGCAUUAGCUAGUUGGUAAGGUAACGGCUUACCAAGGCAACGAUGCAUAGCCGACCUGAGAGGGGGGUCGGCCACACUGGAACGGAGACACGGUCCAGACUCCUACGGGAGGCAGCAGUAGGGAAUCGUCCGCAAUGGUCGAAAGCCUGACGGAGCAACGCCGCGUGAGUUAUGAAGGUCUUCGGAUCGUAAAACUCUGUUAUUAGUUGAGAACAUAUGUGUAAGUAACUGUGCACAGCUUGACGGUACCUAAUCAGAAAGCCACGGCUAACUACGUG
rnacentral:rRNA from 1 species